AAAGGGGCAAACCUGUCGAAAGUCGGGGACGCAAAGCUAAAGGGCCUGAAGCUUUUAAAGUAUGGCUGCCAGCUGC
rnacentral:ncRNA from 1 species